rnacentral:rRNA from 1 species
GAUUGCCCUAGUAACGGCGAGUGAAGCGGCAACAGCUCAAAUUUGAAAUCUGGCGCAAGCCCGAGUUGUAAUUUGUAGAGGAUGCUUCUGGGCAGCGGCCGGUCUAAGUCCCUUGGAACAGGGCGUCAUAGAGGGUGAGAAUCCCGUAUGCGACCGGCUGGCACCCGUCACGUAGCUCCUUCGACGAGUCGAGUUGUUUGGGAAUGCAGCUCUAAAUGGGAGGUAAAUUCCUUCUAAAGCUAAAUACCGGCCAGUGACCGAUAGCGCACAAGUAGAGUGAUCGAAAGAUGAAAAGCACUUUGGAAAGAGAGUUAAAAAGCACGUGAAAUUGUUGAAAGGGAAGCGCAUGCAACCAGACUUGCGGGCGGUGUUCCGCCGGUCUUCUGACCGGUCUACUCAUCGUUCGCAGGCCAGCAUCAUCUGGGUGCGCCGGAUAAAGGCGUGGGGAAUGUGGCCCCUCGGGGUGUUAUAGCUCCACGCACAAUACGGCGCCGCCCGGGUGAGGUCCGCGCUUCGGCUAGGAUGCUGGCGUAAUGGUUGCCUGCGACCCGUCUUGAAACACGGACCAAGGAGUCUAACAUCUAUGCGAGUGUUCGGGUGUCAAACCCCUACGCGGAAUGAAAGUGAACGGAGGUGGGAAGCUUCGGCUGCACCAUCGACCGAUCCUGAUGUCCUCGGAUGGAUUUGAGUAAGAGCAUAGCUGUUGGGACCCGAAAGAUGGUGAACUAUGCCUGAAUAGGGUGAAGCCAGAGGAAACUCUGGUGGAGGCUCGCAGCGGUUCUGACGUGCAAAUCGAUCGUCAAAUUUGGGUAUAGGGGCGAAAGACUAAUCG